rnacentral:rRNA from 18 species
CGAAAGCGAGUCUUAACAGGGCGCUUAGUCAGCAGUAGUAGACGCGAAACUUUGUGAUCUACCCAUGAGCAGGGUGAAGUGUAGGUAACACUACAUGGAGGCCCGAACCAGUAUACGUUGAAAAGUAUUUGGAUGACCUGUGGGUAGGGGUGAAAGGCCAAUCAAACCGGGAAAUAGCUCGUACUCCCCGAAAUGCUUUUAGGAGCA